GGAAAACUACCAUUGGAGAGUGAUGGAAGAAAAUACAAGACAAAAAUCAUGGAGCCUGUGGGUGAGGACACCAGGGAAGGCCUGGCACCCCAAUACCAUCACCUCCCAUCAAGGGCUUGUGCACUUGGGUAUCAGGGUCCAUUCCGUGGAAAUGAAAGCUAUUUGGUUUGUGUCA